AGCGAACGCUGGCGGCAGGCCUAAUACAUGCAAGUCGAACGGCUUCUUCGGAAGCAGUGGCGGAUGGGUGAGGAACACGUGGGAACAUCCCUUUCAGUUCGGAAUAACGUUGGGAAACUAACGCUAAUACCGGAUACGUCCUUCGGGAGAAAGAUUUAUCGCUGAAAGAUUGGCCCGCGUCUGAUUAGCUAGUUGGUGAGGUAACGGCUCACCAAGGCUACGAUCAGUAGCUGAUCUGAGAGGAUGAUCAGCCACAUUGGGACUGAGACACGGCCCAAACUCCUACGGGAGGCAGCAGUGGGGAAUAUUGGACAAUGGGCGCAAGCCUGAUCCAGCCAUGCCGCGUGAGUGAUGACGGCCUUCGGGUUGUAAAGCUCUUUUGUCCGGGAAGAUAAUGACUGUACCGGAAGAAUAAGCCCCGGCAAACUUCGUGCCAGCAGCCGCCGUAA
rnacentral:rRNA from 1 species